GAAUAAAUUGGAGUAUAUUCUUUUUCUAUGUGUAUAUAAAUAUUUAUCAACCUAUAGAUUUGUAUUUUUUGAAUCAGUAGAUUGAUACAUGUAUUUGCCUGUAAACCACCAUCCUUUCAAAAGCUUAACAAUAGCUUAUAUUUAUCUCUGCAUGUCAAGAUGUUCAGGUUACCAUAUCCUGUUUAGUGGUGCCUGGCAUUUAUAUUGAUGUGUGGAUAAAUGCUAACGACAACAGUUUUUCACCUUAAUUAGAAUUUACAUUUAACCUUAAAUAUUCUAAAAUCCAUCCAUGUCAACUUU
rnacentral:lncRNA from 1 species